CAGCAGUGAGGAAUAUUGGACAAUGGAGGCAACUCUGAUCCAGCCAUGCCGCGUGUAGGAAGACUGCCCUAUGGGUUGUAAACUACUUUUAUAGAGGAAGAAACCGCGAUAUGUAUAUCGCUCUGACGGUACUCUACGAAUAAGGAUCGGCUAACUCCGUGCCAGCAGCCGCGGUAAUACGGAGGAUCCAAGCGUUAUCCGGAAUCAUUGGGUUUAAAGGGUCCGUAGGCGGGUUUGUAAGUCAGUGGUGAAAGUUUUCGGCUCAACCGGAAAAUUGCCAUUGAUACUGCAAGUCUUGAAUCAUUAUGAAGUGGUUAGAAUGUGUAGUGUAGCGGUGAAAUGCAUAGAUAUUACACAGAAUACCGAUUGCGAAGGCAGAUCACUAAUAAUGUAUUGACGCUAAGGGACGAAAGCGUGGGUAGCGAACAGGAUUAGAUACCCUGGUAGUCCACGCCGUAAACGAUGGUUACUAGCUGUUCGGACUUCGGUCUGAGUGGCUAAGCGAAAGUGAUAAGUAACCCACCUGGGGAGUACGUUCGCAAGAAUGAAACUCAAAGGAAUUGACGGGGGCCCGCACAAGCGGUGGAGCAUGUGGUUUAAUUCGAUGAUACGCGAGGAACCUUACCAGGGCUUAAAUGUAGAUUGACAGGUUUAGAGAUAGACUUUCCUUCGGGCAAUUUACAAGGUGCUGCAUGGUUGUCGUCAGCUCGUGCCGUGAGGUGUCAGGUUAAGUCCUAUAACGAGCGCAACCCCUGUUGUUAGUUGCCAGCGAGUCAUGUCGGGAACUCUAGCAAGACUGCCGGUGCAAACCGCGAGGAAGGUGGGGAUGACGUCAAAUCAUCACGGCCCUUACGUCCUGGGCCACACACGUGCUACAAUGGUAGGUACAGAGAGCAGCCACUGGGUGACCAGGAGCGAAUCUAUAAAGCCUAUCACAGUUCGGAUCGGA
rnacentral:rRNA from 1 species